rnacentral:rRNA from 1 species
GACGAGGGACCUAGCGUUGCUCGGAAUUAUUGGGCGUAAAGCGGGUGUAGGUGGCUUGGUAAGUCGGGUGUGAAAGCCCAGGGCUCAACCCUGGAAGUGCAUUCGAUACUGCUAAGCUUGAGUGCGAGAGAGGUUAAUAGAAUACCUGGUGUAGUGGUGAAAUACGUAGAUAUCAGGUGGAACACCGGAGGCGAAGGCGGUUAACUGGCUCGACACUGACACUGAGACCCGAAAGUGCGGGGAUCAAACAGG